rnacentral:rRNA from 1 species
AUGGGUAGUACCGGUAGCCCCUCCUCGGUAGCCGCUCUACCAACAAGCGGCCGGCCACUCCCGAUACGCACGCCAAGAUCAGCGACGGCGUCUGAUGAUUCCGCGGCGGAGGAGCCCGUGAGCCCGACUGCAAUACUCAUGGACGCUAUAUACAUCGUGGUUACAAUCGGGCUUGGCUGCCCCGUAAACCUCCCCGUCCUCAGGGCCGGCCUCGCCACCCAACUUGCGCGUUACCCGCGCUUCCGCAGCAUUCAGGUGACCGACGGGUGCAAGAACCCACGGUGGGAGCGCACGGCGGUGAACGUGGACGACCACAUGAUCGUCCCGACGCUGGACCCCGUCGCCGUGGAGGCCGACCCGGACCAGGCCGUGGACGACUACGUGGCCUCGCUGCCCGAGCUCCCCAUGGACCGCUCCCGCCCGCUCUGGGAGUUCCACUUCCUCGACUUCCCGACCUCCGAUGCCACCUCCACCGUGGUGAUCCGCGUGCACCACUCCCUCGGCGACGGGACGUCGCUGAUUAUGCUCCUUCUGGCGUCCGCGCGCAGUGCCUCCGACCCGACACGCCUGCCGACCAUGCGGGAGUUGACGGUGCGCACGGGCGCCAUCUACAAGCCGUGGCGCCGGCAGCCACCGUCGGCGGGCGCCCUGGCGGCAUCCGCGGCAUGGGUCUUUUCCUAUCUUGUGCUCGCGUGGAAUACCGUCGUGGACGUCGCCUCCUUCGCGGCGACGGCUGCGUUCUUGGGAGACCCACACACUCUGUUCAGACGUGCGGAUCACGAUGUUGCGUUCAUCUCCCCCAGGCGCUUCGUGCGCCGGAGCCUUAGCUUGGACGACGUCAGGUUCAUCAAGAAUGCCAUGAACUGCACCGUCAAUGAUGUGCUGGUCGGAGCGACGUCUGCUGCUCUGUCACAAUACUACUUUCGCAAGUCUGGUUACUCCAAGACAGGCAAACUAUGUCUGCGGUCUAUCCUCUUUGUCAAUACAAGGCCAACCACUAGCCUACAAGCGUAUGUUAAUAUGAUAGAAUCUGGUAAGGUUGAUGACGUGGCAUGGGGAAAUCAACUAGGUUACAUCCUUCUUCCAUUUCAUUUGGCGAUGCACGAUGAUCCACUGGCAUAUGUCUGCAAAGCGAUGAACACAGUGGACAGGAAAAAGAGCUCACUUGAAGUUAUCUUCACAUAUAAGAUGACUGAAAUUUUUCUCAAAAUGCUGGGUCUGAAGGCGGGCGCUUUUAUCUUCAAACGUAUGUUCGCCAAUACAACUAUUUCGUUCUCAAACAUGGCUGGACCAACUGAACAAAUUGAGUUUUAUGGACACCCAGUUGACUUCCUCGCUCCUAGCGUUUAUGGAAUUCCACAAGCAUUGGUUGUGCACUACCAGAGUUACAAUAACACUCUCAAAGUAAUUCUAUCAGUCGAUGAGGAAGUAUUUCCAGAUUACACUGAGCUUUUGGAUGACUUUGUCAAGUCCUUCGCACGAAUUAGGGAGGCGGCGUCAAGGCUUUCAACAUCUAUCAAGAAAGAAUGA